GGCGGGCGGACGUGGGAACGGGCGGGCGGACGGGUGGUCGGGCGGUUAGGGAGUCGGAGCAACGCUUGAAAGACGCGCAGAUAGAUGUCAGAUUCUCCCGUAGGGAGGUCUGGCAAGGUGUUAGUUUAGGCGGCGGAGUUGUACACGGGCCAGUCUGUGUUACAGCUUUGCCGUCAGGGUAGCUCCUUCCGAGCUGCCCAAACUGAGGACCAGUUUUCCUCACAGGAGGAGGCUGGUGGGGCCUAGGGUGUUAGGGGUACAACGGUUGGCUCUUUCACAGAACGGGUGUGUUCCGUUCUGCGUUUGAGUCUGCCGCCUUUGGGCGUCUCCCUCUGAGAUGUCGGUUAGGAUUUCUUUUUUUUAUAUGUCCGUGUGUGUAACUGUUGCCUUUUAGCCUGUUGUGUUCCUGAGCAGCAAGAAGAGGAGGCUGUGGUGACCCGCCCGAUGCGGAAGGCUUCUGGGCCCUGUCGGCGGGGGCGCACCUCUCUGGCUGACUGGUUGACCAGGCUUUGACCAGGUGGCCGGGGAGGCGCAUCCUCGCUGGGCGGGGUCUGGGGGCCCUCCGUCUUGGGGAGGUCGCUGCAGCAGGAGGAGGUAACUACUGCUGGUUUUGUAAGGCAUUGUGGUUGAGAGCACCUUGCAGCUGUAACGCGAAUUUCGUUCCGUAAUAAACAAUGUACCGCCAUGCUGCCUGUCCUUCCUCCCUCCCAGCACUGUGUACGUCUGUGUGUGUGUGUGUUGCUUAAUUCUCCCUCACUGCACUGUGCGUACGUCUGUGUGUGUGUGUUGCUCUGUCUCUGUCUCUCUCUCUCUCUCUCUCUCUCUCUGUCUCUCUCUCUGUGUCUUUCUCUCUCUCUAGUUAGUAAAGAACAGGCAAUGUUUGCCAUGGAAGACUCUACAGUAUACAUAAGACUACAGUGUACAUCCCAACCCUCUACGGCCGUUGCUGCUCCACCCGGGCAUUACCAUAUCCACUCGAGUCUCCAAGAAACCUCCACGGCCGAGCUUCAACCACAGAACACACCGCUACCGUUGAUGAGGUUCCACGCCCCGGACUACCGCCAUGUUAGCCUCGAUAAUAAUCCUCGGCGCACUUAUUCUGAGACGUCCUGGUGAGUGAGUGCCCUAAUUGCCUUCAUGGAUAAUGUCACAGGUGUCCAAUGGUUCAGGUGUGAUGUCAUAUUUUUGUUAUUGUGUCGUAAAUAUCCAGUUAUUAUUUCCGACUCGCUGAAUGUUCAUCGCACACAGUUUGUCUUUGAGUAAAAACACUAAUUAAUAUCCAUGAUCGGUUAGGUUACAAACUCCCUCGAUUUCAGACUGGAGAGCUACACAACACUGGUCAUCCGCUGAGUGGUUGAUUUCCUGGUCUACCGGCCCCAGGAGGAGUGGUCGAUUGCCUGGUCUACCGUGGAUGUGAGUGGUUGAUUCCCUGGUCUAUCCCUGGAUGACGCGGCUGUUCCUAUGCAGGGGAGGACUCACACAAGCGAUAAGCACCUGUCGGACCUGGAGACUCCCCCCUGAGCCUGACGGUGGAGCUGUGGGCCCUGCACCAGACCCCCACACACCCCCACACCACCCACAGCAGGGGCAGGGCGUUGAGACUCCCCCCACAGGCUAAGACAGGGAGGGACUUGAAGAUCCAGGUUUUUGUCAUCUGCACAGAAAUUGACACAUGGUAUUUGGGAGCAGCGAGUAGCGGGCUUUUUUUUUUUAAUAUAGUUUCCUUUUUUGUGUGUGCCCUUGAGCUGUCUCCUUUGUUGUAGAAAAAAAAUAAUUGACAAGGCUUUCAUAGGUGUUUGGGGCAUUUCCAUGGGUAGUUUGAUGACCCUGGUGGUAGUCUGACCCUUCCUCUGCGCAAUGAACUUGAAAAAAACGCUCAUAAAAAUGCAGAUAUUAACCCAGUAGCAGCGGGGAUCAUGUUUCUUAAUGGUCCCUCCAAGCGAGAAAAAUGAGAAAAAAUCGCCCCUCACACAAACCAUUUCCUAUAUAUCAAAGUAUUUGCGAUCAGAUUAUGUAUCAUCUAUUUUUUGGGGUUUAUAUCAUGGCACAAAUUUGGCCUGUCGCUGCUACACGGUAAAGCCACAAAUUUGGCCCAUCGCUGCUACCGGGUUAACCUCAUUAUCGUGUUAAAAUCCCUGUAUCUUACUGUUAUCUUCCUCUCCCUCUAUAUUAUUUGUCAAUCUCUCUCUUUCUCUCUCUCCUACAGAUGUCUAAGGUUCCGCCCAUGCAGCUGAAGGGUGCCAAUGCCUACACACGCAUCGACCACAGGUGUGCGCUGGACAUUGCCUACAAUUCAUGGUUCAAAUGGGAGCGUCGGCGGAGAUUGAGCUGGCUGAAGGUUGGCGGCCGGGUCAAGCUCGCCCCGGACAAGGAGUUCUGUGAGAUGUGCUCGGCCGAUGUUGUUGACCUCGGCCACAUCAAUGUUACUAAGGUGGUGAACGGCAUCUACAUUGACGACGGACUCAAGGAGAUCGCUGAGACUACUACUACUACUAUUACUAUUACUAUCCUCUAUACUGCUAUGUGUACUAUUAAAUCCUCUAUACUGCUACUAUGUGUACUAUUGAAUCCCUUAUAUAGUACUUCCAUGACAGCUGAUGAGUGAUACUA